UACGGGGGGUGCGAGCGUUGUCCGGAAUCACUGGGCGUAAAGGGCGCGUAGGUGGUUUGAUAAGGGUGUGGUGAAAGUCCGGAGCUCAACUCCGGAUCUGCCGUGCCGACUGUCAAACUCGAGGGCUGUAGAGGCAGACGGAAUUCCGGGUGUAGCGGUGGAAUGCGUAGAGAUCCGGAGGAAGACCGGUGGCGAAGGCGGUCUGCUGGGCAGUGGCUGACGCUGAGGCGCGACAGCGUGGGGAGCAAACAGG
rnacentral:rRNA from 1 species